rnacentral:lncRNA from 1 species
UUGGAGUAUAGUUGAUUUACAAGACAUAACAUCUUCAAAUGAAUUGUCUUCCUGGUUCAAGGAAGAGGCCAUAUCUGCUCAUCUGAGGCUGAUCCCCCAGUGCAAGAGUCAGUGCCUUGCACACAAUAGGUGCUUAAUAAAUGCCGCUAGUGAACUCCCCACUCUGGGCUCUUUUAGGAAAUCAAAGAGCCUGUCAGCCUUGUGCAUUCUCGGGCCCCCUUCCCUGCACCCCCUUCUCUGUGUGUGGUCCUGCAAAGCCUCCUGGGAACGGGCUGAGGAUACGGGCUCCUUGAGUGUUUCCGUCCUGGGGGAGCAGGUGCCUCUGGGGUAUGUGUGUGUACUGCCAGGGCAGAGAGGGGCAAGAUUGGAGGGUACCGGGGUGCAUGAGAGGGGACCCUUGAGAGACUGGGACCACAAGGCAGGGAGUGUCCUCAAGAGCAAACGUGAGGAACAGAGGGAUUGAGGCUAAGGGGCUGACUCGGAGGCAUCCCUGAAAACAGGCCUGGGGGCUGAGGGGGUCCCCCCCGUCCCCUCCUCACUGGAGGAUAGCCGAGUGCACUGGUGACCACACCAAGUAGCUGGGGUCUCGGAAUCCUCUUGGGGAGGGGUGCCAGUUCUAGGUGCCCUGGGGAGGGCAGCAGGAAGGCCCCAGAGGGGGCCUGUUGGCGGCUCCAGCUCCUCCCUCUGCACGCGAGGCGGCCCCUCCCUGCCCCCUUCUCACUCGCUCUGGCCCCCAGGCUUGGCACCGCAGCAUGGCACCUGCAUAGCAUAGCAGGUGAGAAGGGGAGGAGGUGAGAGAGCCUGCAUUCGGGCGUGAACCCUCCAAGCCUCCACUCUGCUAAUUAAACCAUUUCCUGAUAAAACUCAGGCUUUCAGGGAUGGGUGUGGGAGCCAGUCUGCGGGCAGCUGUAGGAGCCCACGCCACCUGGCUGGCGCCCCCCUCACAGGCAGAUCACUGGGAACCGGGUGGGCAGUGCCCAGAGCAGAGAAGCCAGCGGCUCCAGUGUCCCAGGAAGCCACUCUUCAGGGACAGAGCCUUUCUCGAGAAAAAACAUGGGACUCCCACUGUGACAGCUGUCCUCCCCGCUUCCCUUGACAUGUGGGCCAGAGCCAGGACCUGGGGAGCAAGGGCAGCUAUGGCCAGAGGUGGCCUGGGACUUGACUCCCAUCCCCUGGUGCUAGGCCAGCAGAGCGGGCCAGGGGCCACCCCAGCCUGGACUAUUGGCCACGCCGCCCCCCAGCCCCAGGCCCAGCAAUCCCUCCCUGCGCUGUCUGGGGGCUCUGGCCGCCUGGCUGUACCAGUUUAGGGUGCCUUCCCCACAGUGUGGCUGAGCAGUGGGGACCUAGAAAGGCCACUGAGCAGGCAGUGGCGAGACAGAAGAGCCAGCAGACGCCUGAAGAGGCCUCCAGUGCCUGGAGUGAGCUCGCGUCUUUGAAAUCUCCGAGCCAGCGGGCGGCUGGAGCUGCGAGAGGGGGUGUGGGCUGGCCAAGGGCGGCUGGAGCUCAGCCGGGCGCGUGACCACUGCUCUCAGCCUCUGGGCAGGGAGGCCCUUGAGGGGGCUUGACGGCUCUGCUGUUGGGGGCAAGGGGAGGGGGGACACAGGGCCCUCCAAGGCCUGUCCUCCUGCCCUCAGGAGGGGCGCCGUGGCCAGAGCCCACCCAUGCAAGACAGGAGACAUUCAUGGCCUUUGUCCCCACCACCCCUGCCGCAGAGUCCUGUGAAGGAGCUGCCUGCUGGUCUGGUCUACCUUGCAGGGCUUGUUGUAACUCAGUUUCCAUGCACGAGGGUCUGUGUCCAGCCCGUGGCAGCCCGGCGAGGACGAGUGUGGUACAGCCAGCAAAGGCCAGGCCUUUCUCUGGAAAUUGGCCUGCUUUUGCUGGCAGAACAGUGGCUAUGCCUUUCCGCUGUGCCCCACGGUGAGCUCUUAGCUGAGGGGGCCCUCAGCGGGUGCAGGCGGUGGGAGCCCCAGACAGAAGCCCCCGUCCCCUCCUGGUCACUGGCCGGCUUCCACAUGCGCUCACCUAGGCCCUAGACCACCCUGCCCACAAGAUGGGCCCCACACAGUGUACAGGCCAUAGCUCUCGAGCAGGUGUUUGAAGGAGGACUUUGCUGGUAUGUCUAGUGGGCUUGGGGACCAUGGAGGUCACAGUUAGAGGCCUCCCAGGGAGCAGGCUGAGGUGCUUUCAGAACUUAGAUUCUGCUCAAGGUCCCCCUCCUCUGUCACCACUGCCCUCGGCUCUCUCUCCAGCCUCAGAUUCGUAUGGCCAGGGUUGAGCAUGCAUCCCAGGGACCCUCAGCACCCUGCCAGCUGCUGCAUUGGCAACGCCAGUCCUCCUUAGACCUCCACCACUGGCCACACGCAAAGCCAU